AAAUGGCCCGAGAAUUGUAAUGGU
rnacentral:miRNA from 1 species